rnacentral:rRNA from 1 species
UACGUAGGGUGCGAGCGUUAAUCGGAAUUACUGGGCGUAAAGCGUGCGCAGGCGGCUCCUUAAGUCAGAUGUGAAAUCCCCGGGCUUAACCUGGGAACUGCGUUUGAAACUGGGGGGCUGGAGUGUGGCAGAGGGGGGUGGAAUUCCAGGUGUAGCAGUGAAAUGCGUAGAGAUCUGGAGGAACACCGAUGGCGAAGGCAGCCCCCUGGGUUAACACUGACGCUCAUGCGCGAAAGCGUGGGGAGCAAACGGG